rnacentral:rRNA from 1 species
UACGGAGGGGGCUAGCGUUGUUCGGAAUUACUGGGCGUAAAGCGCUCGUAGGCGGCUUUGUAAGUUAGAGGUGAAAGCCCGGGGCUCAACUCCGGAAUUGCCUUUAAGACUGCAUCGCUAGAAUUGUGGAGAGGUAAGUGGAAUUCCGAGUGUAGAGGUGAAAUUCGUAGAUAUUCGGAAGAACACCAGUGGCGAAGGCGACUUACUGGACACAUAUUGACGCUGAGGUGCGAAAGCGUGGGGAGCAAACAGG